CCUACGGGAGGCAGCAGUGAGGAAUAUUGGUCAAUGGACGCAAGUCUGAACCAGCCAUGCCGCGUGCAGGAGGACGGCUCUAUGAGUUGUAAACUGCUUUUGUACGAGGGUAAACUCGGAUACGUGUAUCCGUUUGAAAGUAUCGUACGAAUAAGGAUCGGCUAACUCCGUGCCAGCAGCCGCGGUAAUACGGAGGAUUCAAGCGUUAUCCGGAUUUAUUGGGUUUAAAGGGUGCGUAGGCGGUUUGAUAAGUUAGAGGUGAAAUGUAGGGGCUCAACCCCGCAACUGCCUCUAAUACUGUUGGA
rnacentral:rRNA from 1 species